UCCCGGAGCAUCAGCCGGAGCCUUGGCUCCCGCCGUGCCCGCCCAGCAAAGCUCAUCUAGAGGCAGCCAGGCGCCUGUUGGCUUUGCGGGAACGCGGGACAACACUCCGAUUCGGUCGAUCCAACAGCUCCCUUGCCUUGCCUUGCCGGAGAGCCCGGGAUGCCCCGGGACUGCCCCAGGACAGGGGCGGAGGGAGCCCCGCCCCAGCCCCGCAGGCAGAGCAGAGCAGAGAGGGCAGGGCAGGGCAAGCCAAGCUGCUCUUAGGGGCAGGCUGAGAGCAGCGGGAAUGACAGCCGGAGGGAAAGCGCUGGCUGGCCCUGGGAGCAAGACACGAAGAAACUUUGGAGACCUUCAGUACGAGCAAGGAUGCUACCCAUGGCAAUUACAGGCAAAGAGUGCUUUCCUCUCCCCUCCCCAGCAACUGAGAAGUCACAAGAAUGAAGGUGAGAAGCAAAUGCUUUCAGAAACCCAUUCUCCUCCAAUGGUGUUCCUUUGUUGUGCUUAAAGCAUAAAGGCUCAGACUGCAUGUGCUGGGGCACUUGAAGCAGUUUUGGGGCUUUCUAUCAAAUUCAGAUACAGUUUUCACUUUCGUUUUGUGGAUUUCUCCACCACAGAAACAUACUGCCGCUAUUUCUACCUACUGAUUGGCCCCGUGGCCCCCACAGGAAGAUACGCUGAGCAUUAGCUUUGACACCAAAGGAACAAAAUUGUCUUUGUACAAAGACAUGCUGUUUUUUCUGACUAAAACACCCUCACUGGUGAUCUUCCCUGACACAAAAGUGUUGUGCAGCUGAAAGAAAUCCUCACUUGGAUUAUUAAAUUGUACCACUGGUCAGCAUUUCUGUAUUACAGCUAAAAUAAUCCUUCCUGUAAACCACUUAGCAAGGAUAAGUGGAGCAAGGGAACAUUUUUAAAUCACUCUCCAGGAAUGGCUGAAGCAGGCAUUUAACAGAACAACCAUAUUUAUUAUUCAUAUCUCACAAACCUUUCUUUGCAGGCUCAUCACCUUGCAAAAACUGUUUUAAGACUACAAACAUUUUCCACCUAAUUACUGGCAAGUCAUAGGCCCACAUGCAUAAUUAUUUUUGGAGGGCAAAUUAUAUGGGCUACUGUCUCACACAUUUUAAAUGAGGGAUGGCCAGUCUUGCCUGCUUCAUAUUGCACCUACCCUGUACCCUCCCAAGGAAAAGCCAAAAGAAUCAAGGCACUUCAUAUCAGCCAACUUGUCUUUGUUACUAGGUGUUGUAAGGUAGCCAGCCUAUAUUUUGCAUGUUGCCUUGUGACAGACGAAGGCUAUAAGCUUUCCUCAUAAGAGAUUAUCCUCAGAAAUCCUAGCAUUUCUUUAACUGAAAGCUUUGAAAAUAAAAACUUAUUGCUCCCAGGAAGCAGACCUGUCCACACCAGAUGAACUGCAGAACAUACUAGGAUCGCUGCAGAAGCCUGGUAGAGGAGGCACACUGCCCUCAAUAUCAUCAGCCCUGAACUGGAAAGACACAGACUCUUAUGGAGAAAUGAGCUGGAUCGCUGCAGAAAGGACAGAGUACGUGUAAAAGGGUUUAGGCAUCUGACUGGCACAUGUUGCCUUCCCUCCUCCACUCCCCAGCCGGGAUUUACAUACUUGGCAUAAGCUGCUCCUUCAAUGCAGUUUGUCUAGCAGCACCGAAUUUGAUAAGAACAGCUGAGUGUUUUGCAUUUUUAUGUGUCUAGUGAUGUGUUGCCUGUUGGAGAGAAAUCAACAUCUCUUCUGGGAGGGAAGCAAGAGCCAGGCAGAUCUGCUAUGAAGAACCUGAAAGGUUUGUGAGGUCUCUUCCUUCUCUGGCCUGACUGGCUUUUUACAGCUUUAUCAAAGUCUCAGUAAAACAUGAAUGAAACAUCCAACCAAAACUACCUAGUAUAAGAUGUGCUGCUUUGUUGUUGUCUGGUUCUGAAGAAAAAGAAUCUCUAAAAUCCCUACAAGUCAAAUCCUCCAGAGGAAGCUGUUGUAUUUCACUGCCAUGUGAAAUAUUUUCUCUGUAAAUCAAAUACGCACUAUUUAAGAUGGGGUAUAAUAUGUUAUUAUUUUUAAAAUAAGCAUGUGUAUCUUUAAUGAGACAGCAUCAGUCCCUCUAAUUCUCAUUUAUAAUGGCUUAUGCAUUAAGUCUUGUAGAGACACAGGAAUGCUGCAGUAAAGCAAAAUCCUCUGCUACUCUCCUCCAGCUUGCCACUGAAUGGCACCAGUAAUUUAAAGGUACACUGUUUUUAAUAACAAAUCAUUAUCAUAUUGUUGCUUUCCCCUGCAGCAGCAAAAUCUUAUUGAUAUCUCAAUAUUUUCAUUGUGAAAGUAUUAACAAAGAAAAAAAAAUGUCUGAUUGUGAUGACAUGAGAGGCCAUUUCUAGUUAUACUUGCUGCUCAAUUCUCAGAAAGGUCAGAAGGUCGGUCACAAGUUUCACACUUGCAAUAUUGCUUUCAUCCACAGCUGCUAACACUGCUAGUUUAUACUGUUGCUUUGUUACAUUGUUUAAAACAACAAUCUUACUUAGCAAAGUUUUAAAAAAACCUUCAAAGGUUGAAAAAAAUAAAUAAGUUGUCAAUCCUGUGAGUUUUUGUGUAAAAUGUGAGCAUAUAUCCCACUGAUAACCCUGCAGGCCUCAGAGGUUGCUAGCACAUCUGAAUUUCAGGAGACCGGUUUCUUUAGGCAGAAAAGUUCAUCUUAAAUUCAGGAAUGACUUCAUAAACUUCAAAAACCCCAAAACAAACACCAAACUCACAGCAGGAAAGACAGAACUUUCUGGGUAAAGGGGGAACAGGAAGACACUUCAUCGGAAAGGAUCUCUGGCUCACUCACACACAUUGAAAACAGUUAUCACAAUACGUAGAAAGGGAGAAGAGGUAGAUGGCACGAAAUGCCUUUGAGAUCCCAGGAGAAAUCAGGCAAGUGAAGUGUAGGGGGAUCUCCAUUUUUUCCAUUUAAGAGGGAAGUGUGGGGAGCAGAGGACACAGCCCCUUGCCUGACCCAAGAUUAUCCCCUCCCCUUCAUUUCAUCACUAAAAGGAGCAGAUAGAUAACCAGCAAAGGUUGUUUGCUUUUCAUUGAGCAAGAGGCUGCAACCCCAUUUCAGAGCUGCAGGUACUCUGGGUGCCUUAGCAAUUCUUAGUUAAUUUAGAUCAUAAAGUACUUGCUAGCUAACCGAUAAUUGCAUCCUGGGCCAAAACAACUGUAAAGCAGUCCUUGACUAAGGUCCAUACGGCACCAUUUGAGACAUUCUCAAAAACACGAGAACAGAGAUGCUGCAUACUCUUCAGUUUUAUCAGUUAAUCCCCAAGAAGCUAAUGCUUGUGACUCCAAGUUGCCUCAUCAUCUGCCAGUAAAACUGAAUUCCUCGCUCGGCAGGAGGAGGAAAUACAGCAGGAGUACCAUUUUGCCUAAAUUGAGAUUUGAGGUGGAUUAAGUGAGCCACUAAAUAGCUGUUUUGGUAAUGGACUGUACUUUCUUCUAGUUCUUGCUUACCAGGUCCACAUGGUAGGGCAUUUGGAAGAACUUCUUGCUUUGUUCAAGAAGGUAGAAACACCUAUAGAAAGGAAAAAUCAGUGGAGCUUACCUGUCAUCGCAGUAGGUGAAUUUCAUGUCCAUGCUAUGACGACUCAGGAAGGUCUUGCUGUCCAGGGGGAUAUCAAUGUUUGAAGGGUGCUGAAUAGGCUCACACAUUAUUAUAAGGCAGGUGAGCAGAGGCUCCUUAUAUCCACACAGACUGUGAGGAGGGCAAGUGUUAUACACUUUAACUUGUCCA